CAGGUGUGCGGCUGUUUUCCCGCUCUCUUUCCUUCUCUUUGUCGUCCCUGAUUGGCCUCCAUGAGCCAUCAGUCAAAUACUCGAUCUCCUCCACAUCUUCCGGCGUCUCUUUAAGGAUCUCAGACAGCAACCUGAAAUGAGUCACAUUUGGUUUCAAGUGUAACCACUGAUCAUGUAAUGUUUGGUCAAGAUGAGAAACUCACUGCGUUCGCGACAACGAUCGGCACUCUCGACUGAGCAAUGCUUCAGCUGGUUGAAGAGCUCUCCAGAUGUGAACACCCUCACCAGGUACACAGCCACCGAGUACCGCUGCAUCCAAAACACAGCGCAGGGGGAUCCUAAACCAACAAAACCACUGGACAAUGAAACAAAGAGGACCUUGGCAAGCACCAUGAUCUCCCCUCUACCUCCCUAUCGUCAUCUAUCUCCAGUGGUUUCCAUGGCGACAACGCUUGGUCCUACUCGCCUGUGAUCCUUUUUGACCCCUGAGGGUAACCUUUGGUCUAACGGGUCAUGGCCAGGGUCAAGAGGUCAGGAGUGGCCAGAGGGCGAUGAAAGCACUUCUGUGAUUGGCUCUUUUACCAGCCCACAUAUUUUCAUUUGUGUGCCUUGUCCUUCAGUGAGCCUAACUAAAAGACUGUACUUUCUCUAUUUCCAACAAAUACACACAUACAUGAUCUCAAUCCAUCAGUGUGAGCAGUUGAUUGUGUGGCGGAUGAAUGCACUGGAACACUCUUGUGAAAACAGAAAACGUAGCAUCGAUCAUAUUCCCUUCGAGUGAAUGUGUGGGUGUGUUUGUAUGAAACUUCUUGUAAGAGCUACGGUAUCUGCUUUGCAUCACCAAGCGGCCUAUUCAUUUCUUUCACACCUCGUUCUUUAUCAGUUGAAGAGAAAUGGCAGUGAAGUGCUUUUAAAGAUGGUAAUGUGUCUUCUUCCUCAGUCUCGCAUUGAAAGGACCUCAUUCCAAGUCGCUGUGCAUAAUGGCGUCAACUAAAUGGCCGAAACAUAAUGUAAAAUCUGCCGGUCACAUGACUAUAGCCAUCCACAGUCCUCUAAUUCAUUCUUCGGAUGAUGGGUUGUCAAUAUUGAUUUAUGAGCGUAAUGGUCAUGGACUGAUAGAAGGGUAGGAUGGGGGAAGAUGAGUUAAGAGAAGAUGGAGAGAAAGCGAUAGAGGAGGAUAAAGGGGGUGCAGAGGUGAAGGUGGACGUAGAUUGCUGGUAGAGCUGGAGGAAGAGGAAAAGAUGGCACAUCCCUAACAAAGACACCAGGUUCAGUGACGGUUAGUAUUUGAUGCAGGUACCUGUUAUUACAGUUAGGCAUAUUAAAAGGAAUAUUUGGUAAUGUUUUACAAUACAGUGUCCUUGGCUUGCAUCUAUUACAGGUGUAAUUAAUUAUACAAAAGCAGUGAUAGUGGAAGGCAGCGGUGAAAGUUACAUGUUGUCCAUUAGUGUUGCUUAUAUUACUGACACAUUGAUCUUUUUCAGAUUGAAUACUGUUGAAUAUGAUCUAAAAAAAAUUGAGCUACACUAAAUAAUGAUAUAAUAUUAUUUAAAUCUACCCGUUUAAGUUGAAACAUAAGGAACAACAGCUGAAUCUAACAUAUUCAGGCCCAUUUAGUCAUAUAAAGUAGUUUGUUUGACUGAGGCAAAUUUCUAUUGCAUGCAAAAGACCUUGAAAGGGCUUUAACUUGACCAACAUUUCUACAUUCUCAUUUACCUACCGCAGGUCAGAAUAUAUUCGAAGGAAGCAUCCCUCAUGAGCGGGUUAACAACCUCCGGUGAACCCACUGCUAUUGCAUAAGAUCUCUGAAGGACUCUUAAAAGGUAUUUUAAUAGGAGCUGUGACCUUUCACCUUCCAGCAUUGACAUUAAGCUCCUGACCCCACUGACACUACCAUCAAUUUAGUUCCUUCUCUCCAUCUUAUUAAAACAGCCGUGUUUACUGCUUGUUUGGUGGUUGUCUGUUACCCCAGUUUCUGUUGGUUAAUAUUUGAUUGUUUUUAUGUAUGCUUUUUAACAUAUGAGUGCAUAUUAACAUUAAAGUGUACAUAGCUUUCCUAAACAACGUUUUGAUAAUAAUUUAAAACAUUUUAUAAGGUUGAAUUGUGUUAAUAUCCACGUUAUUUUGCAAAGCAGAAGUAAGCCCUUUUCUACGAAUGUGCAAUACCUGUUCAUAGCGUAUAGACAUUAACAGGCUAACAAAGUGGAGAAAAUGGUUAAACGAUUUGUGCUUGUGUUUAU